rnacentral:rRNA from 1 species
UGGGGAAUCUUGGACAAUGGGCGCAAGCCUGAUCCAGCCAUGCCGCGUGGAUGGUGAAGGCCUUAGGGUUGUAAAAUCCUUUCGUCAGGGACGAUAAUGACGGUACCUGAAGAAGAAGCCCCGGCUAACUUCGUGCCAGCAGCCGCGGUAAUACGAAGGGGGCUAGCGUUGUUCGGAUUUACUGGGCGUAAAGCGCGUGUAGGCGGACUUGUAAGUUGGGGGUGAAAUCCCGAGGCUCAACCUCGGAACUGCCUCCAAAAACUACAAGUCUGGAGCAAGAUAGAGGCAAGUGGAAUUGCGAGUGUAGAGGUGAAAUUCGUAGAUAUUCGCAGGAACACCAGUGGCGGAGGCGACUUGCUGGAUCUUUGCUGACGCUGAGACGCGAAAGCGUGGGGAGCAAACAGGAUUAGAUACCCUGGUAGUCCACGCUGUAAACGAUGAGAGCUAGUUGUCGGCACGCAUGCGUGUCGGUGACGCAGCUAACG